CCAGCUGAUGAAGGCCCAAAGGUCACCAUCUAUUAGGACAGCUCGGAAGGUCAAGUUUGUUUGAGAUUUCUCUUGGGCCCUCACUAAGGAUAUUAGAAAAGUGAGGGUAUAGAAGGAGGGCUUCAUGUUAGGUGCUACUAAGAGGGGAUUUUAUGAAGCAAUUAAGAGUUGAUAGGCCACUUGGGGCUGGGAAUUUAGCUCAGCGGCACAGUGCCUGCCUGGCAAGCGCGAGGUGGUGAGUUCGAUUCCCGGGAUUGGAAAAAAAAACAAACAAACAAACUAAGAGUUGAUAGGCCACUCAUGGUCAGGCCAAAAAACAGGACAAGAAUGAUUUUAUGGAGGGCCAUAUAUUCCUGAGGAGAGGUGACCCAGAGUGUGAUGCUGAAAGCAACAAUUAAUAGGACAAAGGGGGCUAGGCACCUGAGGAAGUAGCAGAACAUGGGGCUAGUCUAAGGACUCUGAGGACUCCUCUGGAAUGUGGCCUGCCAAGUGCUGGGAUUACUGCCGUGCACCCCCACACCUGCCUCAAGAGGAUUCUUCUUAAAUGGCACUCUAUCAAAAGAUGAUAAAUUUAGCCCUCCAAGGUGAGAGGGACACAGGACGUGAGGGGACCUUUUCUACAGGAUCUGACAACUUCGAAGAGACAUCCAACUGCCUGAACUUGGAGACUGUUAGACCUCAGGAGAACAGGAGUCAACCAAUGUACAGUGUGCCAAAAACAAGAGGUCAUCAGAGAGAGAAAUGCCUCAUAUGGUUUCAUGAGAAGCCACAUGGUCAAGCAACAAUGUGACCUAUCCUGGCAGCUGACACUGACAGAGGAGCUGAGUGGUUCUGCACAUAGUUCCAAAAGUAAUGAUUUUGGAGACUUAACAGACCUUGCUAUAUACUGAAAGGUUAAUUUUGAUUAAUACAGGUCUCACUUUAAAAUGGUUGUAAACACCCAACAAAAAAGUGUAACUAAAGGUGUAUAAAAAUAUUACUAUCAUAAUAAAUGUUACAUAUAAAAAGGGGGCACCAAUCACUUACACCUGCUGGCAGUUUUCAGCUACACCUAUAGCUGAUCACUAUUAUGGUUCAAUGAGGCUAGAAAGCUAUAGUGGAAGUUAUAGUCUUUAAAUUCCUUAGAUAAAAUUGUCCUUCAAAACCACUGAACUCUCCAUCUUCUUACAGCUAAAACUGGAGGGAAUUACUGCAAAGAAAUAGACUUAUAGAUAACCUCAAUCAGUAGAGAGAUUUAGAAGCCAACUGGUUACAACUCUUACUCCAAUCCCUUACGUGCAGUGUCUGCACACUGCUGUUGUCCCCAGUCUUCCUUUCCAUUCUGCUGCCCAUGCUUUGGUCAUACAUGCCCUAUUCACUUGGAAAAAUUUGUUUCUUCUCACCUAAAGUUGCCAAACUCCCAUCAGUCAUGCUGAUGAGCCAAUGAUAACUGUGCUGAACUCCUGUUAUUUGGGUCUACUAGAUGGAUCCUCUGAAGAGAUUCUCUAAGUGUUAAAACCCCAAAAUGUCUUCUACCCAAAGCCCUUUAGAUUAGUUGUUGGGAGAAGGCUCCUGACUGCAUUCUCCCCUGUAAAAACCCUAAUCAACACAAGCAGAUAGAUUGAAACACACCUAUUCUCCACUAACUGCAGGUAGGGAUAGCUCUUCAGAGUUGGGGAAUAUUAUGGGCAGCAAAGUUAGAUAGAAAUCAACAUACAGUCAGAGAGGGACUGGGCUCUCAAGGAAGUCAGUGAAAAAUAAAGAUGUCAGAACUGUGACUGGAGGCGUAGCUGGAUAAGGCAAGGCCUGAAGAUAAAGUCACGAUGACUAGGCUUGCAUACUUCCUUAAGGGAUAAAAAGAACGUGAGACUAUAGUGAGCCUAUGGUGUAAUGAGUACUACUCAGGCCCUUAACCCCAGAUAUGCAUCGAACACGAGGCAGGUGACCAGGAUCCAUGCCUUCCCAAAAAUGUCCCCGUUUUAUUUUAUUUUUUUUAAAAUGUCUCUUUCUUUAUUAGUUAGGCUUAUGUUGAAAAUGGAAGUGAAUUUUUCAAAUGCUUUUUAAAAAAUAAAUACUAAUUAAUGAAUUUACUGUUAUAUUCAAAAUCAUUUAUGCUUAAUCUUU